GGGCUUGGCGGCAGACUACACAUGACAAGUCGAACGGUAACAGGAAGCAAGCUUGCUUGCUUUGCUGACGAGUGGCGGACGGGUGAGUAAUGUCUGGGAAACUGCCUGAUGGAGGGGGAUAACUACUGGAAACGGUAGCUAAUACCGCAUAACGUCGCAAGACCAAAGAGGGGGACCUUCGGGCCUCUUGCCAUCGGAUGUGCCCAGAUGGGAUUAGCUUGUAGGUGGGGUAACGGCUCACCUAGGCGACGAUCCCUAGCUGGUCUGAGAGGAUGACCAGCCACACUGGAACUGAGACACGGUCCAGACUCCUACGGGAGGCAGCAGUGGGGAAUAUUGCACAAUGGGCGCAAGCCUGAUGCAGCCAUGCCGCGUGUAUGAAGAAGGCCUUCGGGUUGUAAAGUACUUUCAGCGGGGAGGAAGGGAGUAAAGUUAAUACCUUUGCUCAUUGACGUUACCCGCAGAAGAAGCACCGGCUAACUCCGUGCCAGCAGCCGCGGUAAUACGGAGGGUGCAAGCGUUAAUCGGAAUUACUGGGCGUAAAGCGCACGCAGGCGGUUUGUUAAGUCAGAUGUGAAAUCCCCGGGCUCAACCUGGGAACUGCAUCUGAUACUGGCAAGCUUGAGUCUCGUAGAGGGGGGUAGAAUUCCAGGUGUAGCGGUGAAAUGCGUAGAGAUCUGGAGGAAUACCGGGUGGCGAAGGCGGCCCCCUGGACGAAGACUGACGCUCAGGUGCGAAAGCGUGGGGAGCAAAAAGGAUUAGAUACC
rnacentral:rRNA from 1 species